rnacentral:tRNA from 1 species
GCCAGCCUGGCGGAAUGGUAGACGCAGUGGAUUCAAAAUCCACCGAUGGCAACAUCAUAAGGGUUCAAGUCCCUUGGCUGGUACCA